rnacentral:rRNA from 1 species
CCUACGGGGCGCUGCAGUGGGGAAUAUUGGACAAUGGGCGAAAGCCUGAUCCAGCCAUGCCGCGUGUGUGAAGAAGGCCUUCGGGUUGUAAAGCACUUUCAGUGGGGAAGAAAGCCUUGGGGCUAAUACCCUCGAGGAAGGACAUCACCCACAGAAGAAGCACCGGCUAACUCCGUGCCAGCAGCCGCGGUAAUACGGAGGGUGCGAGCGUUAAUCGGAAUUACUGGGCGUAAAGCGCGCGUAGGCGGUCUGAUAAGCCGGUUGUGAAAGCCCCGGGCUCAACCUGGGAACGGCAUCCGGAACUGUCAGGCUAGAGUGCAGGAGAGGAAGGUAGAAUUCCCGGUGUAGCGGUGAAAUGCGUAGAGAUCGGGAGGAAUACCAGUGGCGAAGGCGGUCUUCUGGACUGACACUGACGCUGAGGUGCGAAAGCGUGGGUAGCAAACAGGAUUAGAUACCCCUGUAGUC